AUUGAACGCUGGCGGAAUGCUUUACACAUGCAAGUCGAACGGUAGAGGGGGCAACCCCUUGAGAGUGGCGAACGGGUGAGUAAUAUAUCGGAACGUGCCCAGUCGUGGGGAUAACGUAGCGAAAGUUACGCUAAUACCGCAUACGAUCUACGGAUGAAAGCGGGGGACUCGCAAGAGCCUCGCGCGAUUGGAGCGGCCGAUAUCAGAUUAGGUAGUUGGUGGGGUAAAGGCUCACCAAGCCAACGAUCUGUAGCUGGUCUGAGAGGAUGAUCAGCCACACUGGGACUGAGACACGGCCCAGACUCCUACGGGAGGCAGCAGUGGGGAAUAUUGGACAAUGGGCGCAAGCCUGAUCCAGCAAUGCCGCGUGCAGGAUGAAGGCU
rnacentral:rRNA from 1 species